rnacentral:rRNA from 1 species
GACGAACCGUGCGAACGUUGUUCGGAAUCACUGGGCUUAAAGGGCGCGUAGGCGGCUCGCGAGGUCGGGGGUGAAAUCCCACGGCUCAACCGUGGAAGGGCCUCCGAUACCGGCGGGCUGGAGGAAGGUAGGGGUGCGCGGAACUUCUGGUGGAGCGGUGAAAUGCGUUGAUAUCAGAAGGAACGCCGGCGGCGAAAGCGGCGCACUGGACCUUUUCUGACGCUGAGGCGCGAAAGCCAGGGGAGCAAACGGG